rnacentral:rRNA from 1 species
UGCAGUCGAGCGGAUUGAUGGGAGCUUGCUCCCUGAUAUCAGCGGCGGACGGGUGAGUAACACGUGGGUAACCUGCCUGUAAGACUGGGAUAACUCCGGGAAACCGGGGCUAAUACCGGAUAACUCAUUUCCUCGCAUGAGGAAAUGUUGAAAGGUGGCUUUUAGCUACCACUUACAGAUGGACCCGCGGCGCAUUAGCUAGUUGGUGAGGUAACGGCUCACCAAGGCAACGAUGCGUAGCCAACCUGAGAGGGUGAUCGGCCACACUGGGACUGAAACACGGCCCAAACUCCUACGGGAGGCAGCAGUAGGGAAUCUUCCGCAAUGGACGAAAGUCUGACGGAGCAACGCCGCGUGAGUGAUGAAGGUUUUCGGAUCGUAAAGCUCUGUUGUUAGGGAAAAACAAGUGCCGUUCAAAUAGGGCGGCACCUUGACGGUACCUAACCAAAAAGCCACGGCUAACUACGUGCCAGCAGCCGCGGUAAUACGUAGGUGGCAAGCGUUGUCCGGAAUUAUUGGGCGUAAAGCGCGCGCAGGUGGUUCCUUAAGUCUGAUGUGAAAGCCCACGGCUCAACCGUGGAGGGUCAUUGGAAACUGGGGGACUUGAGUGCAGAAGAGGAAAGUGAAAUUCCAAGUGUAGCGGUGAAAUGCGUAGAUAUUUGGAGGAACACCAGUGGCGAAGGCGACUUUCUGGUCUGUAACUGACACUGAGGCGCGAAAGCGUGGGGAGCAAACAGGAUUAGAUACCC